rnacentral:tRNA from 1 species
GGGGUUGUGGCUCAGUGGUAAAGCUCUUGCUUGGAACGUGUAAGGCACUGAUUUGAUCCUCAGCACCAUAUAAAAAUUAAAUAUUGGGCUGGGGAUGUGGCUCAAGCCGUAACACGCUCGCCUGGCUUGCAUGGGGCACUGGGUUCGAUCCUCAGCACCACG